rnacentral:misc_RNA from 1 species
GACAUCUAUUUCGCGAGGCAACUCGUCAACGAGCGGGUUCAGCGGGUGAAGGAUGUCCUUCCGACCGGUAUCGAGACCGCGAUGGGGCCCGUAUCGACCGGCCUUGGAGAAAUCUAUCUGUUCACGGUGGAAGCGAAGGCCGGAGCGAAGCGGGCGGACGGACAAGCCUACAGUCCGACCGACCUGCGCACAAUUCAGGACUGGAUCAUCAAGCCCCAACUUCGAAAUGUCUCGGGCGUCGUUGAGG